rnacentral:rRNA from 1 species
CCCCUAGAUGUUCUGGGCCGCACGCGCGUUACACUGAUGCAUUCAACGAGUCCUUCCUUGGCCGAGAGGCCUGGGCAAUCUUUUGAACGUGCAUCGUGAUAGGGAUAGAUUAUUGCAAUUAUUAAUCUUGAACGAGGAAUUCCUAGUAAACGCAGUUCAUCAAACUGCAUUGAUUACGUCCCUGCCCUUUGUACACACCGCCCGUCGCACCUACCGAUUGAAUGGUCCGGUGAAGCCUCGGGAUUGUGGCUGGUCUCCUUUAUUGGGGGUCGGUCGCGAGAACUUGUCUAAACCUUAUCAUUUAGAGGAAGGUGAAGUCGUAACA